GGGGCUGUAGCUUAAUGGUAAGAGCGUCGGACUCACGAAUUGAAGGUUGGGGGUUCGAUUCCCGAUCCUA
rnacentral:tRNA from 1 species